UCAGAUGAGCAGACAACUACUUUCGUCAGUUGGAAUGUCGUCAUAAUUAUAGGCUAUUGCACAUACUUAAAAAGAGCCCAGCCCAUCCCGUUUCCCGCACUUCUGAUUCCAGACCCGAGAAGAUAGAAGAGUUGAAGAAGAUCUCCAGAAGACUGCAGUCUCACCGCGAACGUCCUGACAAGAAACUCGAGUUCGAAGAUGAAGCUAGCCUUGUGUGGUGUCCUUUUCCUGUGCUGUGUGGUGCUGGCCGCGGCCGUGCCUUCACGUCGUGAGGAGGAGCUGCUGUCUGAUUUAGAAGACUUGGUGGCCGGACUGAAAGAAAAUCUCAUGGAAAUGGAGAUGCGAGAGAUGGAGGCCGAGGAGAACCGAGACCUGCAGGAGCUGGAGAUGGAAAGGCGCCAGGGACUACCCCCCGGAUUCAAGGGUUAAAGGAUAGUGGAGUUUGCAUUCCACUGACUACGUAUACCCCAGGCCCACGCCUGUUUGCAUGCAGUGCAUGGAGGGCAUUAAUUCAUGGUGAAUGUUUCAAUAUGAAAGGUGAAUAAAACUGGACUACUUGAAAA